AUGCACGCUGGCGGCGUGCCUAAUACCUGCAAGUCGAGCGAACAGAUAAGGAGCUUGCUCCUUUGACGUUAGCGGCGGACGGGUGAGUAACACGUGGGUAACCUACCUAUAAGACUGGGAUAACUUCGGGAAACCGGAGCUAAUACCGGAUAAUAUUUCGAACCGCAUGGUUCGAUAGUGAAAGAUGGUUUUGCUAUCACUUAUAGAUGGACCCGCGCCGUAUUAGCUAGUUGGUAAGGUAACGGCUUACCAAGGCGACGAUACGUAGCCGACCUGAGAGGGUGAUCGGCCACACUGGAACUGAGACACGGUCCAGACUCCUACGGGAGGCAGCAGUAGGGAAUCUUCCGCAAUGGGCGAAAGCCUGACGGAGCAACGCCGCGUGAGUGAUGAAGGUCUUCGGAUCGUAAAACUCUGUUAUUAGGGAAGAACAUACGUGUAAGUAACUGUGCACGUCUUGACGGUACCUAAUCAGAAAGCCACGGCUAACUACGUG
rnacentral:rRNA from 1 species